GACAGAGGUGCCGAGCGUGAGGCGGAAUCACUGGGCUUAAAGCGUGUGUAGGCGGGCCGUUAAGUGUCUUGUGAAAUCCCCCGGCUCAACCGGGGAAUUGCUGGGCAUACUGGCGGUCUUGAGCGAUCUAGGGGCGGAUGGAACAAGUGGUGGAGCGGUGAAAUGCGUAGAUAUCACUUGGAACGCCAAAGGUGAAGACAGUCUGCUGGGGAUCUGCUGACGCUGAGACACGAAAGCCAGGGGAGCGAACGGG
rnacentral:rRNA from 1 species